GCUUGCUUCAGCGGUGUAUGUACUUAGGCUGGGACUCUACAGAGAAGAUUAGCAUGACACCUGCAUAAGGAAGACCCACAAGCCUGUGACCUGUUCCACCUUAAA